CCUGUAACAAAAUACAAGAAGAAAAAAUGAUAGAAAUGUUAGAAUAUCUCAGACUGUACUUAUAAAUAGAGUUAUAUCAAUCACGUAACAAGUAAACGGACGCGACAUCGAUGAUAAAAAGCAAUAGAAAUGAAUUAUUGGCGCACUAAUAUAGACGUAGAAUUAAACAAUGUCAUGCGAGGUAAUUACCUCUUUUGGCUCUGACACUGAUGAAUUUAUUCUAGAGAAAAUAACGCCAUCACGAUGCGUAAAACGGUCUACCGCUGUUAGUAGAUUCAAAUACCUAUGUGCAGAGAUGAAUGGAGACGCAAUAACCUGAUUGCAGAAAUACCAAGACAAACGAAUUUCCAAUAUCGUGUGAUCUUUUGUUGUAAGUUGGUUCGCGUUGUUUGUUACACUGCCUACCUACGUUUUUCAUUCGACUCUGUGAUUGAACUGUCGAGUGAAUUACUUCUAGCUCGCCUAAAUAAUUCAUAAAUUCAGACAAGUUGGCAAGGAAAAAAAAUGAUAGAUAUCAAUUAAUUUUAUAUUUUAAUCUUUUUUUUCUUGUUUGUAUUUUUUAUGCUUCUGCGCGCAGUUAAUGAAACAAAUCGUUUACAAGAGAGAAAGUUUAAAUAAUUUACGCGUAUUCAAUUUCCUGUUCUGGUGAUCAUCUUCGGUAUUUUUAUAGUUGAUUUUUUUUUUUUUUAAUAGCGUUAAAUAUUCGUAUUGUUAAUGGUUAUGAUAACUAAUGUCGCCGUUUAUUCGCUUCGUUUGUCUAUGAAAAUCUAGGUAUAUGCACGUCAAGUGUCAUGAACGACCCACUGUUACAAAAGUAUACAAAGAACUUAUUCUCAUUAUGAUAACGCAUUACGGAAAUCUUUUACAUAACUCGUUUAAUUGUUUUUGUUUUUAACAUCGUACAGAUUUGUGCCAUGCACCGCACCGUGUGAAAUUUCGUUGAUUAAUUAAAUAGAUUUCGACCAAUUCACAACAAUCCUAUUCUUUACGAAGAGGUGCUGAUGUUACGUCUACGUAGAAUGUGCUUGAAAAUGUAGAGAUGCAUAUUCGUAUUCACAAAGAUUACUGAGAUUUUAAGAAUUGUUAUGAAGAAAUGAAUGGCAUGUCAAGGUGCUUACAUAUGGGAAUUCCUUUCAGAUUUAAUGUCGGUUCAUAUUUCAAGUGCAAUGUUGAAAAAUGCAUAUCAUCGAUUACCAUAUUUUAACACAAAUGUCAUCUAGGCUCGCGGCGAAUGAUUACGAUCAUGUUGAGAUUUAUUUGUUUUGAACGAACAUUGUAUGAUAAGAAGGACGGAACUCGACUCGCGAACACCUGGAAAUGUUUUGGUGAUAAAGAAUACAGGAAAAGUUGAACACGUUCUUGUUAACACCUUUGUUUCAGAAUAAUCGUUAUAUAUUCCUCAUUAGUUCCAAGUUAUGAUCUUGAUGUUUUAUUCUCGACUUAUGUAAUUGGUGUCAACAGGCACGAGCCACUUUGUUAUCCAGAUACUAUUAUUGCUACGGCUGAUUACGUCAAUUACAAUUUCAAGCUCAAUUAAUCUAAUUGUAUUUGAACUACCUAUCGGGCUGCCUAUUGUAAUGUGGAAAGAGUCGAUUAAAGAAAUGCAUCGCCGGUUGAAAGGUGAAGGCCACAAGGAAACGCUCCCAGAAUACAGUAUAUCGUGUACUCAAGAUCGAUCCAGAAUAUGGAAUCUCAUCGUGGGUGUAAUGCGCAGUCUUCAAGAUGAGGCAUAUACUCGAGAAAGCUAGCACAUCUCGACGAAUGCCCAAACUAAAUGAAAGUGCAUCCCGGUAAACACAUAGUACGCGAUACGCCAGCGAAUAGAAGGCGAUCAUCGUAUUGGCAGCCGGCGUAUCGCCGGCGGGAAUCGCGUUCGAAUCGCCGGCGAAAAUGUCCGCUUUUUCCGCAGCGAAAUCCGAAGGCGAUACGCCGGCGGGAAUCGCAGCGAUAUCGCUGUUGAAAUAGAACGCGAUUCGAAGGCGAUUCGUCGGCGGAAAUCGCAGCGAUAUCAGAACGCGAUUCGAAGGCGAUUCGAAGGCGAUAAUCGCAAUGAUGUUUUGCUUUGGUUUUUUCCUAGUUUUUUCUCCCACAUUAGAAUCAGAACGUAUUCUUCAAUUAAAUUUACGAGUAAUUUACUUGUUUACAUAAUUAAAAAUCAAGAAAACAAAAUAAAUAACGAGUAAAUUAAGUGAAGAAUGCUUUCUGAUUCUGAUGUAGGAAGACAAACUAGGAAAUAACAAAAGAAAAAACGAUGAAGUACCUAUACUUGGGUAAAUCACUUCACACAAGAAUGCAACAACAUCAAUUGUAAUUUAUUAAAAUAACCAAAAACACAAAAAUUGAAUUAUGGAGAUUUAGAAUAAUUAUUCUAAGUCACCAUACAAAAUCCAUUUGAAAUCAUCAAAAAUUUAUCAGAAUUCAUCACUAAAAAACAGUUCAAAAUCACCAUGAAAAAUUCCAAGCUGAAUAAAAA